AUUGAACGCUGGCGGCAUGCCUUACACAUGCAAGUCGAACGGCAGCACGGGAGCAAUCCUGGUGGCGAGUGGCGAACGGGUGAGUAAUAUAUCGGAACGUGCCCGGUCGUGGGGAUAACGUAGCGAAAGCUACGCUAAUACCGCAUACGAUCUACGGAUGAAAGCGGGGGAUCGCAAGACCUCGCGCGAUUGGAGCGGCCGAUAUCAGAUUAGGUAGUUGGUGAGGUAAAGGCUCACCAAGCCGACGAUCUGUAGCUGGUCUGAGAGGACGACCAGCCACACCUGGGACUGAGACCACGGCCCAGACUCCUACGGGAGGCAGCAGUGGGGAAUUUUGGACAAUGGGACGCAAGCCUGAUCCAGCAAUGCCGCGUGCAGGAUGAAGGCCUUCGGGUUAGUAACGUUAG
rnacentral:rRNA from 1 species